UACGGAGGAUGCAAGCGUUAUCCGGAUUCAUUGGGUUUAAAGGGUGCGUAGGUGGGUCCAUAAGUCAGUGGUGAAAUCCGGCAGCUCAACUGUCGCACUGCCUCUGAUACUGUGGGUCUUGAGUUAAGUUGAAGCAGGCGGAAUAUGACAUGUAGCGGUGAAAUGCAUAGAUAUGUCAUAGAACACCGAUAGCGAAGGCAGCCUGCUAAACUUACACUGACACUGAUGCACGAAAGCGUGGGUAGCGAACAGGAUUAGAUACCCUGGUAGUCCACGCCGUAAACGAUGAUCACUCGCUGCAUGCGAUAUACGGUAUGUGGCCAAGCGAAAGCGUUAAGUGAUCCACCUGGGGAAUACGAUCGCAAGGUUGAA
rnacentral:rRNA from 1 species